UUGGCGAUGUUACUUUGAGUAAAUUAGAGUGUUCAAAGCAAGCUUUAGCUCUGAAUAUGAUAGCAUGGGAUAACACGACAGGACUCUGGCCUAUCGUGUUGGUCUGUAGGACCGGAGUAAUGAUUAAGAGGGACGGUCGGGGGCAUUCGUAUUCCAUUGUCAGAGGUGAAAUUCUUGGAUUUAUGGGGGACGAACAAUUGCGAAAGCAUUUGCCAAGGAUGUUUUCAUUGAUCAAGAACGAAAGUUGGGGGCUCGAAGACGAUUAGAUACCGUUGUAGUCUCAACCAUAAACGAUGCCGACUCGGGAUUGGCGGGUGUUUAUUUGAUGACCCCGCCAGCACCGUAUGAGGAAUCAAAGUUUCUGGGUUCCGGGGGGAGUAUGGUCGCAAGGCUGAAACUUAAAGGAAUUGACGGAAGGGCACCACCAGGCGUGGAGCCUGCGGCUCAAUUUGACUCAACACGGGAAAACUUACCAGGUCCAGACGUAGGAAGGAUUGACAGAUUGAUAGCUCUCUCUUGAUUCUUAUGGGUGGUGGUGCAUGGCCGUUCUUAGUUGGUGGGUUGCCUUGUCAGGUUGAUUCCGGUAACGAACGAGACCUCAGCCUGCUAAAUAGUCACGGUUGCAUUCGCAGCUGGCAUACUUCUUAGAGGGACGUUGGCGACUAGCCAACGGAAGUAUGAGGCAAUAACAGGUCUGUGAUGCCCUUAGAUGUUCUGGGCCGCACGCGCGCUACACUGAUACGUUCAACAAGUUCCUGGCUCGAAAGGUCUGGGUAAUCUUUGAAACCGUAUCGUGAUGGGGAUAGAACAUUGCAAUUAUUGUUCUUCAACGAGGAAUGCCUAGUAAUCGCGAGUCAUCAUCUCGUGUUGAUUACGUCCCUGCCCUUUGUACACACCGCCCGUCGCUCCUACCGAUUGGAUGUGCUGGUGAAGACUUCGGAAUCGAA
rnacentral:rRNA from 1 species